UAAAACCCUCCCUAGUGCU
rnacentral:tRNA from 1 species